rnacentral:rRNA from 1 species
CGGGUGGCUGCAGUGAGGAAUUUUGCGCAAUGGGGGAAACCCUGACGCAGCAACGCCGCGUGAGUGAAGAAGGCUUUCGGGUCGUAAAGCUCUGUCAAAUGGGAAAAAAUCUUUUUGAUUAAUAGUCGGAAGGACUGAUGGUACCAUUAGAGGAAGCACCGGCUAACUCCGUGCCAGCAGCCGCGGUAAUACGGAGGGUGCAAGCGUUGUUCGGAAUUACUGGGCGUAAAGAGCGUGUAGGCGGUUUGGCAAGUCAGAUGUGAAAGCCCUGGGCUUAACCCAGGAAGUGCAUUUGAAACUACCUUUCUUGAGUAUGGGAGAGGAGAGUGGAAUUCCCAGUGUAGAGGUGAAAUUCGUAGAUAUUGGGAGGAACACCCGUGGCGAAGGCGACUCUCUGGACCAAUACUGACGCUGAGACGCGAAAGCGUGGGGAGCAAACAGGAUUAGAUACCCCAGUAGUC